rnacentral:rRNA from 1 species
AUUGAACGCUGGCGGCAGGCCUAACACAUGCAAGUCGAACGAGUGGCGGACGGGUGAGUAAUGUAUGGGAAACUGCCCGAUAGAGGGGGAUAACUACUGGAAACGGUGGCUAAUACCGCCUACCAUCGGAUGAACCCAGAUGGGAUUAGCUGGUAGGUGGGGUAAUGGCUCACCUAGGCGACGGUUCCUAGCUGGUCUGAGAGGAUGACCGGCCACACUGGAACUGAGACACGGCCCAGACUCCUACGGGAGGCAGCAGUGGGGAAUAUUGCACAAUGGGGGCAAGCCUGAUGCAGCCAUGCCGCGUGUAUGAGGAAGGCCUUCGGGUUGUAAAGUACUUUCAGCGAGGAGGCGUUACUCGCAGAAGAAGCACCGGCUAACUCCGUGCCAGCAGCCGCGGUAAUUC